CCUCGGGAGGCAGCAGUGGGGAAUAUUGGACAAUGGGCGCAAGCCUGAUCCAGCCAUACCGCGUGUGUGAAGAAGGCCUUCGGGUUGUAAAGCACUUUAAGCAGGGAGAAAAAGUUAUAAGUUAAUACCUUAUAACCGUGAUGUUACCUGCAGAAUAAGCACCGGCUAAUUCCGUGCCAGCAGCCGCGGUAAUACGGAAGGUGCAAGCGUUAAUCGGAAUUACUGGGCGUAAAGCGCGCGUAGGUGGUUUGUUAAGUUGGAUGUGAAAGCCCUGGGCUCAACCUAGGAACUGCAUCCAAAACUAACUCACUAGAGUACGAUAGAGGGAGGUAGAAUUCAUAGUGUAGCGGUGGAAUGCGUAGAUAUUAUGAAGAAUACCAGUGGCGAAGGCGGCCUCCUGGAUCUGUACUGACACUGAGGUGCGAAAGCGUGGGUAGCGAACAGGAUUAGAUACCCUGGUAGUCCACGCCGUAAACGAUGACAACUAGCUGUUGGGAGACAAUGUCUUUCAGUGGCGCAGCUAACGUUUUAAGUUGUCCGCCUGGGGAGUACGGCCGUAAGGCUAAAACUCAAAUGAAUUGACGG
rnacentral:rRNA from 1 species